rnacentral:sRNA from 1 species
CAGGGGUGGUGUAGCACUCUGCCUCAACGCCCAGGGCCGCAGAAAUGGCGAGGCCCUCAUCCGCUUUGUGGACAGCGAGCAGCGGGACCUAGCGCUGCAGAGACACAAGCACCACAUGGGCGUCCGCUAUAUUGAGGUGGGGCUUUGGGCUGGGAGCGGAGCAGGGCCAAUCUGAGUCAGGCCUGAGACCCAUGGGCUGCUGCUCUCUGUACCCACAGGUGUAUAAAGCGACAGGGGAGGAGUUUGUAAAGAUUGCAGGGGGCACAUCACUAGAGGUGGCUCGUUUCUUGUCACGGGAAGACCAAGUGAUCCUGCGGCUGCGGGGACUGCCCUUCUCGGCUGGGCCAACGGACGUGCUAGGCUUCCUGGGGCCAGAGUGCCCAGUGACUGGGGGUGCC